rnacentral:rRNA from 1 species
GACGAACGCUGGCGGCGUGCCUAACACAUGCAAGUCGAACGGGGUCCAUGGGAGCUUGCUCCCGGAAGACCUAGUGGCGAACGGGUGAGUAACACGUGAGAAACCUGCCCUGGAGUGGGGAAUAACUCGGGGAAACUCGAGCUAAUACCGCAUACCCUCGGAUGGUCGCAUGGCCGACCGAGGAAAGAUUCAUCGCUUCAGGAGGGUCUCGCGGCCUAUCAGCUAGUUGGUGGGGUAACGGCCUACCAAGGCAACGACGGGUAGCUGGUUUGAGAGAACGAUCAGCCACACUGGGACUGAGACACGGCCCAGACUCCUACGGGAGGCAGCAGUGGGGAAUCUUGCGCAAUGGGCGAAAGCCUGACGCAGCAACGCCGCGUGCGGGAUGACGGCCUUCGUGGUUGUAAACCGCUUCAGCAGGGACGAAAAUGACGGUACCUGCAGAAGAAGACCCCGGCUAACUACGUGCCAGCAGCCGCGGUAA